CCUACGGGUGGCAGCAGUGGGGGAUAUUGCACAAUGGGGGAAACCCUGAUGCAGCAACGCCGCGUGAGUGAAGAAGUGUUUCGGUAUGUAAAGCUCUGUCAGCAGGGAAGAAUAUGACGGUACCUGAAUAAGAAGCCCCGGCUAACUACGUGCCAGCAGCCGCGGUAAUACGUAGGGGGCAAGCGUUAUCCGGAUUUACUGGGUGUAAAGGGAGCGCAGACGGCAGUGCAAGUCUGGAGUGAAAGCCCGGGGCCCAACCCCGGAACUGCUCUUGAAACUGCGCGGCUAGAGUGCAGGAGGGGCAGGCGGAAUUCCUGGUGUAGCGGUGAAAUGCGUAGAUAUUAGGAGGAACACCGGUGGCGAAGGCGGCCUGCUGGACAGUAACUGACGUUGAGGCUCGAAAGCGUGGGGAGCAAACAGGAUUAGAUACCCGUGUAGUC
rnacentral:rRNA from 1 species